CCUACGGGAGGCAGCAGUGGGGAAUAUUGGGCAAUGGAGGCAACUCUGACCCAGCAACGCCACGUGAGUGAUGAAGGUCUUCGGAUUGUAAAACUCUUUAAGUGGGGACGAAGAAAGUGACUGUACCCACAGAAUAAGCCUCGGCUAACUACGUGCCAGCAGCCGCGGUAAUACGUAGGAGGCAAGCGUUAUCCGGAAUGACUGGGCGUAAGGGGGGCGUAGGUGGUUUGGCAAGUUAGUAGCGUAAUUCCGGGGCUCAACUUCGGAACUACUACUAAUACUGCUGGGCUUGAGUGCAGGAGGGGGAGGUGGAAUUCCUAGUGUAGCGGUGAAAUGCGUAGAUAUUAGGAGGAACACCAGUGGCGAAGGCGAUAUACUGGACUGUAACUGACACUGAGGCACGAAAGCGUGGGGAGCAAACAGGAUUAGAUACCCGAGUAGUC
rnacentral:rRNA from 1 species